CAAGAUGUGCAGGGUCUUGUCCCGUGACGGGUCAGUGAGGGAGACCUUGUGUAAAAUCUGCAGCAAGGGGGAAACAAGUACUACUGACCGUUGGGAAGUCCUCCAGAACCUGCCGGUCUUUCUCCUGGCUCUCAGUGAAGCACCACUCGUCCUGCGCUCGCAGCACAAGAUAGAAAAUACAAACUGCAUGUCUGGAUCAAGAAGAGGGUGAGAAAGGGAUGAGAUGACUACAACAGUUGUGUCAAGUAAAUCAGAAAGUACUGGAGCAAGUUCAGAGGAGCCACCACAGUCGACCAGAAGAAGAGAAAAAGGUGUUCAGAUGGGAGGAUAGGAUGACAUCUGAUGGAUGUAAUCUUCACUCGCUCAUCUGGCACAUAACAGAGUAUCUGCCAAGAACCACUUAGCUGUUCGGGAGAAGGAGACAUCAAUCUGUGUUGUGGAAGUGACUGUUUGAAUCGUUUUACCUACAUCUAGCAGUGAUACAAAUGUCACAGUGUACAACAGCGAGACAAUAGCUUGAGGAAAUUUGGAAAACGCCAACUUAAUAAUUGUAAACAUCACAUUUAAGUUGUACACGUCACUGUUUAUAUUUACUCUCCUUCAGAAAGUAUAAAUCUGUCUCCAGCUGUUCCCCCCUCACCGUGGAGUGUAACUGAAAUAGCAGUGAUACAUGUGCAGGCCUCUUCCAAGGCUGAGGGCAAAACAGAGACAGCAGAGCGAGCUAACCUUGAGCCAGGCAGCAACUGUAGCCAACACAAAGCAGCAACACAAGACAACACACAAAAGAAAUAUUGAAGCAUCCUUUAUGUCUAUCUAUAGAUGUUUAUUUUUUCCUUAUAAAUGUCAGUGUGUGUCUUUAAUGGGAUGCAAUUUAAAAACAUCCACAUCAACUUCAGAAGGCCAAAGGUGAAAAUGAGCCUGUUUUUCCAUUCAUUGUCACUGUGGCAGAGAUAAUGAGGAAAUAUAGUGCCAACACCUACAAGUUCACUUGCUCAGCUUUUUAAGUACACAUCUGUGGUACUUUUACUUUUUUGUAUAAUGCUUUACGUUAUUAAAUUUGCAGUGGGCUUACUGUGGGCUGAUAUCACUAAAACUCUUUAUGUACAAAGCAUAUUAUCAAAAUAUCAAGAUAUAAUGCAUAUUGUUAGCUAGCAGUCGCUGCACCAUACAAAUAACAACUGACACCUGAAUCAAACAACAUUAGUAUAGGCUACUGACAAUUAAUUAUAUUUACAGUAACUACACAUUUAUUUGUACAGUUUA